CUUGCUCCUCUGACGUUAGCGGCGGACGGGUGAGUAACACGUGGAUAACCUACCUAUAAGACUGGGAUAACUUCGGGAAACCGGAGCUAAUACCGGAUAAUAUAUUGAACCGCAUGGUUCAAUAGUGAAAGACGGUUUUGCUGUCACUUAUAGAUGGAUCCGCGCCGCAUUAGCUAGUUGGUAAGGUAACGGCUUACCAAGGCAACGAUGCGUAGCCGACCUGAGAGGGUGAUCGGCCACACUGGAACUGAGACACGGUCCAGACUCCUACGGGAGGCAGCAGUAGGGAAUCUUCCGCAAUGGGCGAAAGCUUGACGGAGCAACGCCGCGUGAGUGAUGAAGGUCUUCGGAUCGUAAAACUCUGUUAUUAGGGAAGAACAAAUGUGUAAGUAACUAUGCACGUCUUGACGGUACCUAAUCAGAAAGCCACGGCUAACUACGUGCCAGCAGCCGCGGUAAUACGUAGGUGGCAAGCGUUAUCCGGAAUUAUUGGGCGUAAAGCGCGCGUAGGCGGUUUUUUAAGUCUGAUGUGAAAGCCCACGGCUCAACCGUGGAGGGUCAUUGGAAACUGGAAAACUUGAGUGCAGAAGAGGAAAGUGGGAUUCCAUGUGUAGCGGUGAAAUGCGCAGAGAUAUGGAGGAACACCAGUGGCGAAGGCGACUUUC
rnacentral:rRNA from 1 species